UACGUAGGGUGCAAGCGUUAAUCGGAAUUACUGGGCGUAAAGCGUGCGCAGGCGGUUGUGCAAGACCGAUGUGAAAUCCCCGGGCUCAACCUGGGAAUGGCAUUGGUGACUGCACGGCUAGAGUGUGUCAGAGGGGGGUAGAAUUCCACGUGUAGCAGUGAAAUGCGUAGAGAUGUGGAGGAAUACCGAUGGCGAAGGCAGCCCCCUGGGAUAACACUGACGCUCAUGCACGAAAGCGUGGGGAGCAAACAGA
rnacentral:rRNA from 1 species